rnacentral:rRNA from 1 species
GAACGGCAGCACGGACUUCGGUCUGGUGGCGAGUGGCGAACGGGUGAGUAAUGUAUCGGAGCGUGCCCGGUAGCGGGGGAUAACUACGCGAAAGCGUAGCUAAUACCGCACACGCCCUACGGGGGAAAGCAGGGGAUCGCAAGACCUUGCACUAUUGGAGCGGCCGAUAUCGGAUUAGCUAGUUGGUGGGGUAACGGCUCACCAAGGCGACGAUCCGUAGCUGGUUUGAGAGGACGACCAGCCACACUGGGACUGAGACACGGCCCAGACUCCUACGGGAGGCAGCAGUGGGGAAUUUUAGACAAUGGGGGAAACCCUGAUCCAGCCAUCCCGCGUGUGCGAUGAAGGCCUUCGGGUUGUAAAGCACUUUUGGCAGGAAAGAAACGUCAUGGGCUAAUACCCCGUGAAACUGACGGUACCUGCAGAAUAAGCACCGGCUAACUACGUGCCAGCAGCCGCGGUAAUACGUAGGGUGCAAGCGUUAAUCGGAAUUACUGGGCGUAAAGCGUGCGCAGGCGGUUCGGAAAGAAAGAUGUGAAAUCCCAGAGCUUAACUUUGGAACUGCAUUUUUAACUACCGAGCUAGAGUGUGUCAGAGGGAGGUGGAAUUCCGCGUGUAGCAGUGAAAUGCGUAGAUAUGCGGAGGAACACCGAUGGCGAAGGCAGCUUCCUGGGAUAACACUGACGCUCAUGCACGAAAGCGUGGGGAGCAAACAGGAUUAGAUANCCUGGUAGUCCACGCCCUAAACGAUGUCAACUAG